rnacentral:rRNA from 1 species
CCUACGGGUGGCAGCAGUGGGGAAUAUUGGACAAUGGGCGAAAGCCUGAUCCAGCCAUGCCGCGUGUGUGAAGAAGGCCUUCGGGUUGUAAUGCACUUUCAGUGGGGAAGAAAGCCUUGGGGCUAAUACCCUCGAGGAAGGACAUCACCCACAGAAGAAGCACCGGCUAACUCCGUGCCAGCAGCCGCGGUAAUACGGAGGGUGCGAGCGUUAAUCGGAAUUACUGGGCGUAAAGCGCGCGUAGGCGGUCUGAUAAGCCGGUUGUGAAAGCCCCGGGCUCAACCUGGGAACGGCAUCCGGAACUGUCAGGCUAGAGUGCAGGAGAGGAAGGUAGAAUUCCCGGUGUAGCGGUGAAAUGCGUAGAGAUCGGGAGGAAUACCAGUGGCGAAGGCGGCCUUCUGGACUGACACUGACGCUGAGGUGCGAAAGCGUGGGUAGCAAACAGGAUUAGAUACCCGUGUAGUC